AUUCUGGUUCAGUUUCUUCCUUUAAUCGUUGCGCGUCUAUAUAAUCUCCACCCACCCUGCUAGCUGCUACUGCUCAUUCCCCAACUUUAUUUGGCAGGGUCACAUCUUCUGGCCAUGCUUCGCCAGGUGCUCUCACAUCUCGGUUGAUGUAUUGGAACUGCCGACGGGUUCUGGUGGUUAUUUCAGGCACUUCUAAAGCUCACGAUUUGCAAUGGUUGGCACCCAGGGCAUUGCGUCUACCGUGCACUGUCCUCUUCAUCAUGUUUGAGGGUGAUCAGACCUCCAGCCAAUUGGGUCUGCAUGUGUCCACGAAGAGAAAAUUGCAAAAGGACGACUAUUAAAGCAUCAAGUGUUAGUAUAUUUUUGGUUUUGCGGACGGAUGUGAUAUUGUGGAUGCGUCUGCUUUCAAGGUUUUUUUAACCGAGUUAUUUAUGUGUGCAAAAGCUAGAUCUCAAGCUUUCAACAUUGUUCAGUUUCACGCGUAAAUGCAGGCUUGCUUUUCUUAAAGAAAUAAUUUUUUUAUAAGGCAGAAGGCUUUCAACAUUGUUCAGCUUCAUGAAUAAAUUCAGAAUUGUUUUUCUUAAA